UACGAAGGGGGCUAGCGUUGCUCGGAAUCACUGGGCGUAAAGCGCACGUAGGCGGCUUUCUAAGUCGGGGGUGAAAUCCUGGAGCUCAACUCCAGAACUGCCUUCGAUACUGGAGAGCUUGAGUCCGGAAGAGGUGAGUGGAACUCCUAGUGUAGAGGUGGAAUUCGUAGAUAUUAGGAAGAACACCAGUGGCGAAGGCGGCUCACUGGUCCGGUACUGACGCUGAGGUGCGAAAGCGUGGGGAGCAAACAGG
rnacentral:rRNA from 1 species